rnacentral:rRNA from 1 species
UACGUAGGGUGCAAGCGUUGUCCGGAAUUAUUGGGCGUAAAGAGCUCGUAGGCGGUCUGUCGCGUCGGCUGUGAAAACCCGGGGCUCAACCCCGGGCCUGCAGUCGAUACGGGCAGACUAGAGUGCGGUAGGGGAGACUGGAAUUCCUGGUGUAGCGGUGAAAUGCGCAGAUAUCUGGAGGAACACCGGUGGCGAAGGCGGCAUCCUGGACCGGCAUUGACGCUGAGGAGCGAAAGCCAGGGGAGCAAACGGG